rnacentral:tRNA from 1 species
ACCUGGGUGGCUCAGUCGGUUGAGCAUCUGACUUCAGCUCAGGCCAUGAUCUCGCCAUUUGUGGGUUCGAGCCCCACGUUGGGCU